GGAUAUGAGGGCGAUCUGGCCUUGACAUCUGUCACUCCAUUGAUUGUCAGGUUUGAUUUGGCUGAUCUGGCUGGCUAGACUGGUGACCCCUUCCUCCCUCACUGCUCCAUGUGUGCCCUUCCCGAAGCUGUGCACUCGGCCUAAGAGGGCAGCUUUCCCAGAACAGGGACAAACUAGUCUUCUGUCGAAGGUAUAUUGAGUGGCUCCCCUACUAGAACCUCCAAAAAAGCUCUCAAAAUGGCAUCACUGUAGCAUCUGCAACUUGGUGACUGAAAGGCAGUAAGAUAUAAAGCAGGACAAAUUGUUU
ensembl:misc_RNA 7SK 7SK RNA